rnacentral:lncRNA from 1 species
UAGGUUAGAGUUGUAGUAUAGGUGUAAGCGUGGUGCUUAGACCUAGAUUACUUGUGAAUAUCCCCUGUCUAGCUGGAUCGUGUGGUAGGCCGCGUAGGUGACAGUUACGUUGGUCCCCUGUAGUCCACCUCUUGUUAGCAGGACGGGUAGGGUUUAUCGGCCUAUGGAUAAGCAUCCUUUGUGGUGUAUUCUUAUCACGUGGUUCGUCCUAGACAUAGCCAUACCCCUUUGAAGUAGAGAAACCAUAGUUAUCCUCUCUAUUCUGCUACCACCGCCAAUAUACUAGAUUGCUCUACUCUCUAUUCCCAUAUUAUCACCCAUUGUUAUCUUACCUUUAAUAUUGUUCUUAUUUAAUUCUACCAUCUUUCCUAUUUACACUUAUCUAUCUAUCUUGGUUAAGUUAGAGCGUAGUUGGUUCUCCUGUUUCCCUGUGGAUACGAUAAAACCUUUAACCGGGUAAAAGCUACAACGGUAUCCGUGCGCUUGCGGAUUUAUCUGUGUGCGUAUAAAUACCAUAGUACACUCUAGUGCCAUGCUGGGGAUGAUAACCUAGUAUUCAAGUGGUGUUAGCAAGUGUCAACAAGCAUUUUUGGCGCCGUUGCCGGGGAAACGGUUGCUGAGUUGACUAUGAACUAGCUUAAUCAUUUUCUAAAAAAUAAAAAAAAUAUAUUUUCCUUUUAUCUUUUGCCCUAUCUCUGCUAUUCUUUCUUCUUAUCUAAUCCUUGAUCUCUGGUCUAUCAUGAAUUCAAACAUGUCUAUCUAUGAAUUUCAUAGACCUACGGGCACACAUCUCGAACCACCAAAAUCUUCAAAGCCUAUCAUAGCAUCUAGUUUUGAGAUAGAUCCCGAAUACAUAGAAUUUGUUCAAAAACAACCUUUCUCAGGAGAGGGUGAGGAAAACCAAUACACACAGCUAAGAGAGUUUUAUCGAGUCUAUGACCUCCUUCGCAUAGAAGGCAUGUCCGAUGAGACCCUGAAAUGGAAGCUCUUUCCGUUCUCGUUAACAGGAAAAGCUAGACAUUGGUACAAACUCAAAGUAGGGAGUGUUCAUGGAGUUUGGAAGGAGUUAUAUAAUAGUUUUCUUUCUAAAUAUUUUCCAAUCUCCAAGGUGGCAGAACUUUGACGUGAGAUUAUUUCUUUUACACAACUGGAAGAAGAAUCUCUUGGCAAAUCAUGGGACUGCUUUAUUAACCUUACUCUCACUGGCCCAAAGCUUUCUAUUCUAGAAGAAGUUCUUCUAAUUCACUUUUUUGUGGGCCUUAGUAGGGAAAAUAAGCAAACCUUGAAUACAGCCUCUAGAGGAUCCUUCUAUCACCUAUCUGCUAGUGAAGCUAGGGAUUUAAUUGAUUCAUUGAGUGGAAAGUUUCCUAGCAUUUAUAUCCCUGAGAAAGAGAAAGAACCAGUUCCUAGACAAGAAGAAGAAGUUUCGAUAGCCAAAUCACAACUACUUCAAUCCCAAACUUUAGCUAUCGAUCCUAAACCAACACUACCCCAAAAUUCUCCAAGGGAAGAAGGAAUUCCGACCUUAAAUCUUUCAGAUGAUGAUGGUUUAGACUUCUGGUUCCAUAAGAGACCUUCAAGCAGGGAUAAUUCAAAUCCUUGCAAUAAUGGUUCUCUUAGAGAAUGUCCUGGUUCCUGUUAUGAAGAAGUCGAGGAUGACUUAUCAAGUGAAGGAGAGCUAAGCCAUAUAGAAAAUUCUAUCUGCUCCACUUCCAUGUUCACAAAUUCUAAAUCCAUCCUUGACCUUAGAGAUCCCUCUUCUUUUUAGUCUCAUGAUGAUCCUAGCAAUUCACCAAGACGACCAAACCAUAGGAGUCAUGAAGACCAUAAGGAUGACAUAUCAAGUGAAGGAGAGCUAAGCCAUAUAGAAAAUUCUAACACCUCCCCUUUCCUGAUCACAAGUUCUAAAUGGCUAGAAUGUGUAGAAUGGAUGGAUAAGGAAGAAGCCUUAAUGGAUUCUGACUUUGGCUCAAUUUCAAAUGGUGAGUUCUUGACUCCCUUUGAAAAUGGGAUUCAUCCAACUACAGAAGAGGACAUAAGUUAGACCAAUCUAAGAGAAACUCCGAACAUUCAGAUAGGAGAUGAAGAUAACAUUAAUGAGCAUGGAAUUUAUUUCAUAGCCACUUCGUUUACUCCAUGCUCAUAUGCAACAUCUUCCCAAUCUAUUGGUCUCUCCGACAACACCACACUUGAGAUCUCCAACCCCCUCUUCCUUUCUAUUUAUAAAAACUUUAAAAGGGCGGUUGUCGAUGCAUAUGUCUAUAAUAAAUAUUGCAGAUCUCGUUGAGAUGAUCUUGAUAUAGGUCAGCGUUGGAAGGAAAACCACUUCGCCGACAUAAAUUGAUGGUUUCCCAAGGACAAGCUUAGUGUCCUAAAAUAAGCACUGAUCAGAUCGUAACAUGAGCUUUUAAUUAUUUACAACAUUACCUUGUGUAUUGAGCAUAUAAAGAUAAUUGUGAAAAUAUUCCUUUGGGUAUUCUUGUCACUAACCUUUCCAAGAUUGGAGAAAGAAGAUCGGAUGAAUGACAAGCACAAGGUAUGACCAACCAAUCAUCAUACAACAUUGAAUUAAAUUCACCCAAACUUGAAUUUUGCAAAAUUCAAGCUUGGGGGAGUACUUUACAUAAAAACAUCCUUUGCCAUGUUGCUAUGUUGGUUGUCCCUACCUUUGAGACAUGCUCAAUUUGUUAAAUACUAAUCACACUACUUCAUCUCCACUUGAGUAGAUCUCUAUAAAUGCUAUCACGCUACCUUUGUUUAUCCUAGUAAGUGUUAGUUUGGAAGUACUGCACAUACUUCUAUUGGCUUUUAAAUUAAGCAUGGUGCUUAGGUUAAACAGCCUUCCUUAAUCUGAUUAGACAUGGAGUCUAGUUUGGUUACUGAACUAAAAACUUCUUGAGUAGAUAUUGGUAUAUUUUGUCGGACUAACCCCUGCAGAAAAACUUUCAACAUCGAUUUGGGAAGUCCUAAGAUAAACUUACAUCGGAGAUGAAGAGAGACACACAUGAAGUUUAACAAUUUGCACAAUAAGGACAUAGCUCAUUCAUCAUAGAGAGAUGAUCCAUGGAAGGAGACAAAGUACAAAAACAAGAUACACAACCACUACGAAUGGGAAGCUUCCACAAGGUAAGAUGGUACCAUCACUCUUCAAUUAAGGUAACAUCUUAAGAUAUCUGAUUAUCACUUUUACCAGCUUCUCCUUUGUUCUGGCAUUCACAUAAAUAAAGAGACAAACAUGUAUGAUUUAUAACUCCAAAUUAACCAACUCAACUGAUUCAGCAUGUUUAGUCCUUUAAUCUUUGUUCCUAGUACUACCUCCAUGAUCCCACACUCCUAAUCAUAUGAGCUAAAAUGUUACACAUUUAAUCUUUGAGAGAUAUAAAGAAAAAAAAUACAUAUACAUAGAUAGGUUAUCUUUCCAUAAUGUUGAGUGAUCUGAUCUGACAAAUGUUAUAAGUACUACACUCAUGAACUUAUCACCCAUCAACUUUGUCUUGCUCACUAUGCUUAAGGUUAGAGAAGAACAAAUACACUUUUGGUUCUGUUGGUGUUUUCCACCAACAGGACCCAUGCACUUGAUCUCUGCCUUGUCUCUAUGAGCAGGUACACUUCGAGCAAAAUAUGGAGGAGUUUUAUAACUCUCAGACUCUACCAAGUAAAGGACCUGGAUCUACGAGCACAAACACACUGAGCAGGAUACUGGCAACGCCGCACUUCGAACUACUGGGCAAACGAAGAACAUGGGGUGACACCGUAUUAAGAGGUGCAGACGUCAAGGUCCGCACCUGAAUCAAAUGACGCACCUGAAGAAUGAACACGGUGAGAAGUCUUGUUCAGAAGACUUAAAACAUUGAACCCUCGCCGAAAGGUAAAAUCAGUAGUUAUCCAUAUUUAUCCUUUCUGCAUUCCCUUUUCCCUUUAAUUACUUACUUUCCUUAAAUCGUUAUUAGUUAAUCAUGCUAUCUUGAAAAGAAAAUAAAAAAUGUUAAAAAUACUAAGCCCCAUGUGAGUAUGCUCGUGGCAUAAAACCCAUAAGUACAUUCACUGUGGUGGCGUAAAAAUAAAAUAAAUAUAUUCCUGUUCUAUAGAAAUGAAAAUAUAAAAAUAAAUUUAUGAUCCUACCAAAGAGAGUAAUAUUUAUUAGAGGAAGCUCAACAUGAUAAAGGCGAAGAGAUUUUAUGCUAACACUUAAUCAGUUCCACAAAGCUUUGUUGCCUAUUUGAGCUCCACAGAAUUCAAGGAUCAAAGAAGACUAGCAGACGGAGCACAUCCUAAUCGCUGUCAGGGUGCUGCCGACAUUCAAAUACACGUCCACCACCUUCUGGCUACAUUAGAAGAAAUUACGUCAAAAUCCAGCUUGGGGGAGAGCACCCCCAUUUAUCCAUCUAAGUGUUUCUACUCAUGUUUAUACUUUACUCAAAUAAUAAAAAGAUGCAUAAUCAUAAAAAACCCAAAUAAAGAUUUUAUGCUUAUAUAUAUAUCUUUUCUUAGUUUGCUAAAUAAAUAAAUAAAUAAAGUUUGCUAUGAACCCUCAUGAUAAGCUCUCACAUGGAAAUGAUGAAUAGUUGCUCUGCUAUGACUAGUUCUCAAAAGUGAAAUCUCUCUCAAGUUUAGGUAUGACUGUUAUGAAUUAAGAUUUGCUCUAAACCUGAACUUAUGGGAAGAGUGCUUGAUCUAAAGUCUAAGUCGUUAACGGAUAUGAUAUGGAAAGGUUGAGCUGCUGUUUAUCUGUUCCUAGAGAUGCUAGAAUUCUGGAGAAUUUUAUCUUAAAAAAAUCUUUAAAAAUUUGCAUGAUGAGUUCCUGUAUGAUGAGAGUUUAAAAUCCUACCACAGCCAUAUAGACAUGCUUAUUAGACUAUGAACCAUACAUUUACUUUUUACUGCUUAUGAGCAUUGAGUCUGGUCAAGCUGUGUAGACCCUUAGGAGCUUGUCAUGCGGUUAAAAUCAAGAUUUACUUGCACGUUCACUCAUACAUGCUACUUCUACUCCGGAAGUACGCAUCCACAUACAUCCACUCAAUUCCAUCUCCAGAUUUAUCCAAAAUUAUUCUACUCCUAUCCAGGAGAGAAUAGCCAAAAACAUUAUCCUAUCUCUGUUAUUUCCUGUGAAAUAAAUGCUCGAGAUAUUUUGGUUACUACCACUUGCUACAUUAAUCCAGGAGGGUGAGUGCUCGGAAAAAAGUGAAUACGAGGAAAUAAAAAGGGGCAAGUGCCCGGAACCUCGAAGAAAAGAAAAAGUGAGACGAGAGGUAAAAAUGGAUAAGUGUCCGACAGUAGAAUUAGGGGUACAAGAUACCCACCUAAAAGAAAAGAAAAAAAAAGAAAAGAGAAAAUAUAGAGCAUCUCAUUCCCCUCAAAAAGCUUCAAAGUGCAAGAAAGGUAUGUAUCCCCUCAAAAGAGCAAAAGUAGAAUUAGACUUUCACCAUUGUUUUCACCAUUAUCACCAUCAUCACCAUACACCAUUCAUUCGCCACACAUGCACAUCUUGAUUUGACUUAUUGACUUGUUUCUCUGGAUCCAUGGUUUGAUUAUGCAAUAAAUGUCUUGUAAGUAUGUAUUAGCUGUCUCCCACCUAUGAGCUCCAAAUAUCAAAACCUUGUUAGAGUAGGGUGAGAGAGAAGGCAAUCUCAUUAUGCCUCAUACCACAAAUACCACAUACUUUGAGAGAAGGCAUAUAUCAUCACUGCCUUGGUAAGGAUCCAGAAAUACCACAAAAGAGAGACUAGAGAGAGUCAUUUAGGAAUCUCUGAGAUUUAUUUGAAAAUCUGCAAAAACUCCAGAGCUAUAGUUGAUCAAAGAACAAGAGACAUGGUGCUUGACUUGACUUUUCUAUCUUUUAACUGCUCAAGACACAAGUGAUGGUUGCAAGGCCCAUGGUGGAAGGUAAUAUGAGUAAUUUUAAAUCUUAACAGUUUACCGUAACCCAGAGAUGAGACUUUGUUUGAACGCAUGUGUACCUUUAAGGCAUAAAACCACUGAAGAAACUCUUGAGUCCAUCCUUGCUCAGGGACGAGCAAGAGGUAAGCUUGGGGGAGUUGUUGACGGUCCUUAAGUACCAAAUAUAAUCAGCAAAUAAACAAAGAAAGGGAUCCAAAUACAACCAACACCUAAACAUAGGGUUUUAUCUGACAGAAUUCCACGAGUUUUGGUGUUUGUCUAUUUCUGCAGGGGGUUAUCAGGAAAUAUGGAGGAAAGGCCCACAUGUCGGGUUUACAUAGAGAUAUUAACGUGCCGCGCAAUUUUCUAUCAUCUAGAAGACUCCAGAAGCCACGGGAACGAACGGGAGGCCGAGCGGGCUCGGGGGCAAGGCGCCCGCCCAGCUACAGAGUCCAAUCAGGACUCAUUUCGUGGAUUAUGCUCCAUCAACCUAAAGGAUCAAGAAUAACCGUUCAAUCAAUAUCGGUUUGAUCCGAUGGCCCAGAUUCACUUGAGGGGACUAUAUAACCAGACCCCCUGGCCCCUAGAGGAGGCACCCCUUGAUCCCUAUUCAUUAUUCAUAGACAAAGCAAAAGCUAGGGUUUGGAGAUGAGAGCUCUCCUCUCAUAUCUAAACUAGAGUAGAUCUAGAUAGUAGCAAGAUGGAGAGUGAGGGAGGAUUGGAGGAGAGGCCGGCCUGUCGGUUCUUCCUCUGGUUGUACUUCACCAUGAUCAAGCUCUAAUUAAGCUUGCUCAUGGGAUGACUUUGGUAAUCUACUUCUAAUUCAUUAUGCAAUUACUAAUCAUGUAUGUUCUGGUUCACAACUCUUUUGAGUACAUCUAAUCUUAGGACCCUAUAGGUUAGAGUUGUAGUAUAGGUGUAAGCGUGGUGCUUAGACCUAGAUUACUUGUGAAUAUCCCCUGUCUAGCUGGAUCGUGUGGUAGGCCGCGUAGGUGACAGUUACGUUGGUCCCCUGUAGUCCACCUCCUGUUAGCAGGACGGGUAGGGUUUAUCGACCUAUGGAUAAGCAUCCUUUGUGGUGUAUUCUUAUCAUGUGGUUCGUCCCAGACAUAGACAUACCCCUUUGAAGUAGAGAAACCAUAGUUAUCCUCUCUAUUCUGCUACCACCGCCCAUAUACUAGAUUGCUCUACUCUCUAUUCCCAUAUUAUCACCCAUUGUUAUCUUAC